UUCUCCUCGACGUCGUCCCCCAUUUCUCUUCUUCCUCCCGGUUCUUUCUCUCUCCCCAAACCGAUCGUCUUCCUUCUUCUGCUCCUCACCCAAUUCCCUUUCUCUUCCCGAUCUAAUCGCGCUUUCUCCUCCUCUUUGUCGCGUCGUCCUGGGGUCGCCACAGCCAAAAGCGGCGUUGCCAGCCGAGCCCUAGAUCGAGGGAGAUCAGGAACGCGCUGAUGCCCCUCUUCGACACCGAGCUCCUCUUCCUCGCCAGCACAAACUCAUUGAUCGACCACCAGAUCCGACCGAGUGUGCUUCCCAUGCCCUAGGUCCCCGACUUUGCCGCUUCAGCACCCGAUCGCGCUGGAGCUAUCCAUCCCGGCAUCGACCGAGCAUCCCAUCUCUUUUCCCGAUUGUUGCGAGCCACAGUGCCGAGCCACUCCGCGCAACAGGUAGAGUAUCAGUUGCGUCUCUUCUUUGCCUCGGCGCGACACCACUGCAGUCACUUGCUAAGUGAGAGUCACCGAUCGCCAGGAGUUGCUGCUGUAGCAACAAGAAGCCACUGGAGAAGAAGAGGAAACCAUGGGUUGAGGCCGCUAGGAGAUUCCAGUUGCUAGUCCCCCCUUCAGAUUGCGAGGUUGAGGUCGUCAGGAGAUUCCAGUUGCUAGUCCCCCCUCCAGAUUGUGAGGAUUUUUGUUUUGGAUCUUUUCCUUGAUUUUCAUAUUUAUGUUAUCGACUCUUAUUAUAUUUCAGACUUGUAUGUUUUGGCACCUUGGAUAUCUUAUGGUCUUUUAUUUGUCGAUGGGAUUUUAUUUGGAUAUGUUCUGCUACAUGCCUGCCUGGAUGGCAGAAGAGAUGAGUUGACUUUAUUGCGUCGUUGAGAUUUGAGUUUUAUGGGUGUAGUGGAGUAGGAAUAAGAUUUAAGUUUUAUGGGUGUAUUUGAGUAGAAUAUUUGA